GAACAGUAAGUGAGGCUCUGUCAUAAUAGUUGCCUUUCGUAUUUGUACGGAGAGACUUCUUUAAUGAAGAACCGUUCGUUAGAAAUAUGCUUGAGUAUUACCAAAACGGCGUUGAAAUGAUUAGGAGGGAUUUUCUCACAGGACGCUGGGCACCUUACCUUCAGCGUGCAAUUAGUUUGAAACCCUGCUAUGAAGGAGGGGUUGAUGGUGGCAAGGUGACUGCCCGCAUACUACAGGAUAUGGCUUUUGGAAAGAAU